rnacentral:rRNA from 1 species
GGAUGCUGGAAUGCUCCAUGGCUGAAAGCUCCGGCGCCUGAGGAUGGGUCUGCGGCCUAUCAGGUAGUAGUUGGGGUAACGGCCCAACUAGCCUAAAACGGGUACGGGCCUUGAGCGAGGAAGCCCGGAGAUGGACUCUGAGACACGAGUCCAGGCCCUACGGGGCGCAGCAGUCGCGAAAACUUCACACUGCGGGAAACCGUGAUGAGGGAACCCCAAGUGCCCAGGCGUUAGUCUGGGCUGUUCACAUGCCUAAAAAGCAUGUGAAGUAAGGGCUGGGUAAGACCGGUGCCAGCCGCCGCGGUAAUACCGGCAGCCCAAGUGGUGAUCCCUAUUAUUGAGCCUAAAACGUCCGUAGCCGGCCCGGCAAAUCUCUGGGCAAAUCGGGCAGCUUAACUGUUCGAAUUCUGGAGAGACUACCGGGCUUGAGACCGGGAGAGGCCAGAGGUACGUCAGGGGUAGGGGUAAAAUCCUUUAAUCCUUGACGGACCACCGGUGGCGAAGGCGUCUGGCUAGAACGGAUCUGACGGUAAGGGACGAAGGCUAGGGGCGCAAACCGGAUUAGAUACCCGGGUAGUCCUAGCUGUAAACGCUGCAGGCUUGGUGUUGGAACUCCUUAGAGGGGUUCCAGCGCCGUAGCGAAGGU